rnacentral:lncRNA from 1 species
GGGCAAAAGUUAUAACCUCACACUAAAAGUCAACAGAAAAUCUCGAAGAUGGUAAGACUGGCAAAACAGUUUCAUUAAAAAGUUGUUAUACUAAUGAAGAAGUUUAUCCAAAACCAUAUGAACAUACAAUAAUCACUAUAAAUUGGACCGACAAUCACAAGAAAACCAAGCAUAACAAGAAACAUAACCAACAUGCCUUCCUCAUCACACUACUUAGUAAUUAGCUUCUUCUUACUUAGUUUCUUGGCAGUUUCAUUAGUUAAUUCACAGAGUCCCGUUCAUUACCCGAUCAAUGUUAUUGUGAAAAAUGAAACUCCAACUACAGCCUCGGCAAGAUGUUAUAUACAUGGAAUUGAAGCUCUUGACGAAUUCAUAAUGACACCAGGUCAUAUUGUUGAAUUCUAUAUGAGCAUUAUUCCCGGAGAGGAUAACACCCUUUCUUGUGCUGUGAAAUUAGGGGAGAAACACGGGUUUUUCGAGUUGUUUAACUUGAAUAAUACUCACAUUUGUCACACUCCUGAUGUAUAUUGUUAUUGGAAUGUACAUGAAGAUGGAUUAUGCAUGUUUGUUGCAGGUAAAUGUGUGCUCUUCAAGUAGGAUGCUAACUCAACAGUUUUUCCCAGUUCGAGUCACCAAGUCAAAGAAAAACUCCCUUCAAUUAGACAUACUGCAAGUGAAAAACUGAGAUAUGCUGCAACUGGACCCUUCAUUUUGAAAAGAAGUCCUUAGUAAAUCCAUGAAAUUUUGUACUAAUAUUCUAUGAAAAUGAUUAAGAAAAAUUCAGGUAUUAUGUUAAUUGAUAUAACAAGCUUUAUCCAAUCUCAUGUCACAAAAUGGUAUGCUCGUUUAUCUCCAUAUAAAUAUAAAUGCUAUUCACAUCUAUAGGAAGUAUUUCUCUUUACUAUGCAUUUUAAUGGUUAAGACUUAAGACUUUCUCUCCAUAUUUAUAAAUUUGCUCGUUACAGUUGAGAUAGACACAAAUUACGCAUAAUUUCUAAUUUAAAUCGAGAUAUUAAUCUUGAAUAUUUUCACACAAAAAGAAUGAUAUUUGAAGUUGAUCAAUACUUAUUGAGCAUAAAGCUUAAGGCAUAAUUCAACAUAUUUUGGGAUCUCUAUCAAUCUGAUAGAAUAAUUCGAUUAAACAACAACAACAACAACUACCCAGUAUAGUCCCAAAAAAUGGGGUCUGGGGAGGGUAAUAUGUAGACGAGCCUUACCCCUACCCGAAAGGGCAGAGAGNNNNNNNNNNNNNNNNNNNNNNNNNNNNNNNNNNNNNNNNNNNNNNNNNNNNNNNNNNNNNNNNNNNNNNNNNGCCUUACCUCUACCCGAAAGGGCAGAGAGGCUGUUUCCAAUCGACCCUCGUCUCAUUAAAGGAAAGGAAAAACAAAAACAAAAAAAUAAAAGAGCAUUAUUAACUCCAGUAGAAAUAACGUAAAUAAUUAUCUAAAUAUAAGAACCAUAAAUAGAAUAACAUGUAAUAAUAUCAUACAGUAAUUACCUUAAAUAACUAUCAUAAGGGAGACACACUGCAAAACACAAAUCAUCUAUGAAUAGCCCUGCUAUGAUAGAAUAAUUCGAUUAUAUUGACAAAAAUCAAUCCCGUAGAUCCAUGCUAGUAGAAGAAGAUCCCAUAUACUUGUCGACUAUAUGCCGAACCCUUCUUAAUUAGCUUCAAAUCCAUAUCCUUCACUACUAAACCAAGAUUCAAGCCCAAAUAUUCCCUCACCAUUAAGAAUUCUCAAAUAGUGAGAUAUUAAUAUAUUUCUUAAUUUGCAUAUGUUUUUGUUUAUCCUAUACUUGAUUAAAAGGUGAUAUUACAAGCAUUCAGAGCCAAACCCAAAAUAAUUGGGACUACUACCGCGGUUGCCGGAGCGAUGAUAACGCCUUUAGUACGGCCAAGAUAAGAGUUUUUUUUUCUAUCAUUUUUAGUCCGCGCAAAAAAAUUAUUUUAUUCGAUAGUUAAAAAUAUAUAUAAAUCUUAUAUAUAAUAUAUAUACAAAAAAUAUAUAUUUUUGGUUAUAAUUUUUUGAACGACUAUAUAAUGCUAUUUUGCCAAGAUAAUUCAACAAUAGGACUCAUACCAGUGGUAUUAUCAUGGUUCCUGCAACUUUAGCACUAAUCCCAACUAUUCUUUGCCUGCUGCGAAUGCUUGUUAGCUUCAGCUUCUCAUGCCUAGGAUUAAAAAAAAACGUGCAAGUACCAAAAAAUAAUUAAUUUCUCAUUAAUGAAGUGUUGUGAAUAAAUCCCCUACCAAAAUAAUAUUUACGGUAAUAAAAGCGGAAUAAUAAUGUAGCACCGAGAUACGAUAAUUAAUAAGAAUAAAAAAUAGUAACAAUGACACCAAGAUUUUUACGUGGAAAACCCUUCUGAAUAAGGGAAAAACCACGGCUGUGAGAGGAGCAACUGAUACCACUAUAGUAAGGAAUUUUACACUUUGUAGGUACGAGAAAAAUACUCCAAAGAACACUACAACACUCAAAAGAAAAUAACCCUCUUUUGAUAUUUCCACCUCACUACAAUAUCGCUCNNNNNNNNNNNNNNNNNNNNNGGAAAUAACCCUCUUUUGAUAUUUUCACCUUACUGCAAUAUCGCUCACUCUCUAUUUUCCUCACAGACAAUUUUCUUAUACCCUGUCUGUGAACCCUUACUCUUUUUCUCUCUUUCUGUUGGUGUAAAAAAUGAGAGCCGAAGCUCUCAUUUUAUAGGCAAAAUAUUGCCAACUUAUCUUGACUUUUCCAUUUCUGCAGCAUACUUUCUUUGACAAACAAAGAAAAUGUGCUGCUGCC